GACGAACGCUGGCGGCGUGCUUAACACAUGCAAGUCGAACGGAAAGGCCCUGCUUGCAGGGUACUCGAGUGGCGAACGGGUGAGUAACACGUGGGUGAUCUGCCCUGCACUUCGGGAUAAGCCUGGGAAACUGGGUCUAAUACCGGAUAGGAGCCAUUUUUAGUGUGAUGGUUGGAAAGUUUUUUCGGUGUAGGAUGAGCUCGCGGCCUAUCAGCUUGUUGGUGGGGUAAUGGCCUACCAAGGCGGCGACGGGUAGCCGGCCUGGGAGGGUGGACGGCCACAUUGGGACUGGGAUACGGCCCAGACGCCUACGGGAGGCAGCAGUGGGGAAUAUUGCACAAUGGGCGCAAGCCUGAUGCAGCGACGCCGCGUGGGGGAUGACGGACUUCGGGUUGUAAACUCCUUUCGCUAGGGACGAAGCUUUUUGUGACGGUACCUAGAUAAGAAGCACCGGCUAACUACGUG
rnacentral:rRNA from 1 species